UACAGAGGUCCCGAGCGUUGCUCGGAUUCACUGGGCGUAAAGGGUGCGUAGGUGGCCUAAAAAGUUUGAUGUGAAAGCUCAGGUCUUAACCCUGAAAUGGCAUUGAAUACUGUUGGGCUGGAGGUUUGGAGGGGGGACUGGAAUUCUUGGUGUAGCAGUGAAAUGCGUAGAUAUCAAGAGGAACACCAGUGGCGAAGGCGAGUCCCUGGACAACACCUGACACUGAGGCACGAAAGCUAGGGGAGCAAACAGG
rnacentral:rRNA from 1 species